GGCAGACAGGAGCACGGAGAAAAGGCUGAAGAGACGUUAGGGAAGUGACCGGAUAUGCUGUUGAGAUGCAGGGCCCUCUGCUGAGUGUUUUACCUGCAUCGCCUCAUCUCUUCUUCACAGCCACCGUGGAAGUAGGUUCCGAUAUUAUGAUCCUUAUUUUAUAGAUGGAGGAAACAGAGUCUUAGAGAAGUUAACUUGUCCAGGAUCAUUGAGAAAGAGGCCUUCCGCCCUAGCUACUGAGGUGGGUAUCACCUCCUUACAAAGACAGGCAUAAGUUAUGUGCAAGCACAGAGAGAUUCAGGGGGCAUGUUCGGAGAAAUAUUAAGACUUUAAAAUUUUUCCCAGACAAGUGAAUCGGGAAUAGUUGCCUAGUUGCCCAGACAGUUCAGGCCUUCUCCUGGUUACUGCAGGUAUCUAGCCAAGGGCCACAGGACUCUCUGUGUACUGCUCUGAAGCCUGGAGUUCCCUAAGUGGAGACACAAAGUCCCUUCUGACCCCCACACUGUUUGGACACAAGUAGUAAAAACGCAAUCUGUUCCUCUUGGUUUAUACUCAGGUAUAACUGACAGACAGAAGGGCCUUUUGGAGAUGGAGAGUGCAGGGGUACCUAGAGACGGAAAAUCAUGGGAAGUCUGGGCCUGCUUCCAGAAGGGCCUCCUAAG